GCCAGUGUGUUCUAGUGGUUUGAGCACUGGACUGUGAAUCUGGAGGCCAGGGUUAGAAUCCCCGCUUGGUCG